rnacentral:rRNA from 1 species
AACAGCUCAAAUUUGAAAUCUGGCCCUCGGGUCCGAGUUGUAAUUUGUAGAGGAUGCUUUUGGCGCGGUGCCUUCCGAGUUCCCUGGAACGGGACGCCUUANAGGGUGAGAGCCCCGUACGGUUGGACACCAAGCCUCUGUAAAGCUCCUUCGACGAGUCGAGUAGCUUGGGAAUGCUGCUCUAAAUGGGAGGUAAAUUUCUUCUAAAGCUAAAUAUUGGCCAGAGACCGAUAGCGCACAAGUAGAGUGAUCGAAAGAUGAAAAGCACUUUGAAAAGAGGGUUAAACAGCACGUGAAAUUGUUGAAAGGGAAGCGUUUGCGACCAGACCUUUUCCUAGCGGAUCAUCCGGUGUUCUCACCGGUGCACUUCGCUAGGUUUAGGCCAGCAUCGGUUUCUGUAGGGGGAUAAAAGCUCUGGGAACGUAGCUCCUCCGGGAGUGUUAUAGCCCUCUGCAUAAUACCCUUACGGGGACCGANGACCGCGCUUCGGCAAGGAUGCUGGCGUAAUGGUCGUCAACGACCCGUC